CUGUAAGCCCUUUGACUUUACAGGUAUCCCCGUGCGGCAAAACGAGUUGGGUUUUCAGCACUGAGGGCUACACUCUACCAGAUAUCGACAGGUUCGUCGGCCACCUUUGCCUAAGUCUCUGCAUGAGUUUGGAGCCAUUCUUGAGUCUGAAGAAUGGAACCACCUUGGCAGGACACUCAUGGUGGAAACAGAACACAAGAAUGUAGUUGGCGGUGAGCAGGAUGGCUAGUAAAGUUACUGGCACCCCGACCUGACGCCAUGUUGAUUUCUACCUUUGGGGAUUCAAAAGAAUUGGCCUCCGCUACCAGCUGACCUACCAGACUUAAGGCACAGCAUUGAAGCAGCUGUUGCAGUAACCACUCCCCAGUCACAUUGAUCAAAGCUUGGGAAGAACUUGGCUAUCGACUUGAUGUGUGGCCUUCUUACGAUUGAAGCUCACAUUGAACACUUGUAAGCUUUUGGCCACCCCAUCUACUGUUGCUCCACUGCCUGCCACACAUACCACUAGGUGCAAGCAAAAUAUUGCAGAUAUUCCUUUGUUUAAAUUAUGUAAAAAUAGUUAUACAGAUAAUAUAUGAUAAAGAAUUUGAUUUGUUCUAUAUUUCUGGUGCAAUUUGAUGCAUAUUAUAACAAAUAAUCACUCACUUUAAAAGUAUCUAUUAAGCCAUGUUGUAUGAAGGCAGAUUCUUUUAAAAGUGAUGGUAGUUUGUCAUUCUUUAAUAGUAGCUGAAAUAUAGAGCAGUGAGAUAACAUAUAAAUUGUAUGUAUAACCACCUUGUUCUUCAACAAUAACAGAGGACAGUGAAAACAGUCCUAAAAAUGAAGAGCCAGAAAAUGUGUACUCUUUCUGAUCACACAGCAAGCUUGACCAGCUGCAGGUUUAUUUUCACUGAAAGUCUGAGUCUGUCAGCAGAAGUGGUGGCCCUGAAAACUUCUUCAUGAUCAUCUUCCUGGAAGCAGUUUACCAAAGUAAAAAAGACUGACUUGAGAUAAACAUCUUAUUAAUUUGUUUUCUCUGUAAUAGUGGAACAAUAAAUUGCCUCCCUUUUUAUUUUUAUAUUUCUAACGAAUAAAUUUCUUAUUUUUUAUCUAUUGUAUGCGUAUUUUAUUUCCAGUUUAUCCAAUUUUCAUUAACUUACCUCUGGUCCCAAUUAAUCUGAAUAAACAAGGUUGUACUGUAUAAGUUUAUAUGUUGGUAUAUGAUAACAUUGAAUGUUUACAAGCAUAAUUUAUAUCUAAUUUAAACCAAACCAAAUUCACGUUUUAAGAAACUUUAAGCCUAUAACUACAGUAAAACACCCGUUAAACGAAAUGGGAAUCAAUUGAUACCCAAGUCAGCUGAAACAGUUGCAUGAUGUUAACGUUUAUAUAAAUAAACUAAGCUAAAUAUUUAAUAUGCCUGUGUAUUACUUACCUUCCCCACUCCUGCUAUCAUUCCUAAAGUAUGACUUUAAAGAAGUUGUUUGUACGUAUUGAUUUCCUCUACUCACGCAUUCUUGUUAUUUUGAGAUGUUAAUUAGGUUAACCAAAAAAUUGGUUUUGUGAAAUGGUCUGUUCUCCCUUUAUUUCAUGAAAACAGAGUUUUACUGUAUUUGUUAUCUUAAAAGAUUUUCAAGAUGAUGGAAUUUCUAAAUUUAUCAAUAUAUACCAUCAAUUUAAGAGUCAUCAUACCAUUUAUGUACAAAUUAACGUACCUACAUAAUAGUGACACUUGUUUUGUAGUGCGGCAUAUCAGUAUUUCUCCUGUUUUCACUGUAAAGGGAUAUUUUUUAAUAUUUAACUGUUACUUUAUUAUUGAGAUUAUAUAACUUAAGUACCAAUA